rnacentral:rRNA from 1 species
CCUACGGGCGGCAGCAGUGGGGGAUAUUGCACAAUGGGGGGAACCCUGAUGCAGCGACGCCGCGUGAGCGAUGGAGUACUUCGGUAUGUAAAGCUCUGUCAGCAGGGAAGAAAAUGACGGUACCUGACCAAGAAGCCCCGGCUAAAUACGUGCCAGCAGCCGCGGUAAUACGUAUGGGGCAAGCGUUAUCCGGAUUUACUGGUGGUAACGGGAGCGGAGGCGGCAGGGCAAGCCUGGUGUGAAAGCCCGGGGCUCAACCCCGGGCCUGCAUUGGGAACUGCACUGCUGGAGGGCCGGAGAGGAGAGUGGAAUUCCAAGUGUAGGAGUGAAAUCCGUAGAUAUUAGGAGGAACACCAGUGGCGAAGGCGACCAGCUGGACGAUGACUGACGCUGAGGCUCGAAAGCGUGGGGAGCAAACAGGAUUAGAUACCCGAGUAGUC